rnacentral:rRNA from 1 species
GGGUUGUGAGGUUAAGCGACUAAGCGUACACGGUGGAUGCCCUGGCAGUCAGAGGCGAUGAAGGACGUGCUAAUCUGCGAUAAGCGUCGGUAAGGUGAUAUGAACCGUUAUAACCGGCGAUUUCCGAAUGGGGAAACCCAGUGUGUUUCGACACACUAUCAUUAACUGAAUCCAUAGGUUAAUGAGGCGAACCGGGGGAACUGAAACAUCUAAGUACCCCGAGGAAAAGAAAUCAACCGAGAUUCCCCCAGUAGCGGCGAGCGAACGGGGAGCAGCCCAGAGCCUGAAUCAGUGUGUGUGUUAGUGGAAGCGUCUGGAAAGGCGCGCGAUACAGGGUGACAGCCCCGUACACAAAAAUGCACAUGCUGUGAGCUCGAUGAGUAGGGCGGGACACGUGGUAUCCUGUCUGAAUAUGGGGGGACCAUCCUCCAAGGCUAAAUACUCCUGACUGACCGAUAGUGAACCAGUACCGUGAGGGAAAGGCGAAAAGAACCCCGGCGAGGGGAGUGAAAAAGAACCUGAAACCGUGUACGUACAAGCAGUGGGAGCACGCUUAGGCGUGUGACUGCGUACCUUUUGUAUAAUGGGUCAGCGACUUAUAUUCUGUAGCAAGGUUAACCGAAUAGGGGAGCCGAAGGGAAACCGAGUCUUAACUGGGCGUUAAGUUGCAGGGUAUAGACCCGAAACCCGGUGAUCUAGCCAUGGGCAGGUUGAAGGUUGGGUAACACUAACUGGAGGACCGAACCGACUAAUGUUGAAAAAUUAGCGGAUGACUUGUGGCUGGGGGUGAAAGGCCAAUCAAACCGGGAGAUAGCUGGUUCUCCCCGAAAGCUAUUUAGGUAGCGCCUCGUGAAUUCAUCUCCGGGGGUAGAGCACUGUUUCGGCAAGGGGGUCAUCCCGACUUACCAACCCGAUGCAAACUGCGAAUACCGGAGAAUGUUAUCACGGGAGACACACGGCGGGUGCUAACGUCCGUCGUGAAGAGGGAAACAACCCAGACCGCCAGCUAAGGUCCCAAAGUCAUGGUUAAGUGGGAAACGAUGUGGGAAGGCCCAGACAGCCAGGAUGUUGGCUUAGAAGCAGCCAUCAUUUAAAGAAAGCGUAAUAGCUCACUGGUCGAGUCGGCCUGCGCGGAAGAUGUAACGGGGCUAAACCAUGCACCGAAGCUGCGGCAGCGACGCUGAUGCGUUGUUGGGUAGGGGAGCGUUCUGUAAGCCUGCGAAGGUGUGCUGUGAGGCAUGCUGGAGGUAUCAGAAGUGCGAAUGCUGACAUAAGUAACGAUAAAGCGGGUGAAAAGCCCGCUCGCCGGAAGACCAAGGGUUCCUGUCCAACGUUAAUCGGGGCAGGGUGAGUCGACCCCUAAGGCGAGGCCGAAAGGCGUAGUCGAUGGGAAACAGGUUAAUAUUCCUGUACUUGGUGUUACUGCGAAGGGGGGACGGAGAAGGCUAUGUUGGCCGGGCGACGGUUGUCCCGGUUUAAGCGUGUAGGCUGGUUUUCCAGGCAAAUCCGGAAAAUCAAGGCUGAGGCGUGAUGACGAGGCACUACGGUGCUGAAGCAACAAAUGCCCUGCUUCCAGGAAAAGCCUCUAAGCAUCAGGUAACAUCAAAUCGUACCCCAAACCGACACAGGUGGUCGGGUAGAGAAUACCAAGGCGCUUGAGAGAACUCGGGUGAAGGAACUAGGCAAAAUGGUGCCGUAACUUCGGGAGAAGGCACGCUGAUAUGUAGGUGAAGUCCCUCGCGGAUGGAGCUGAAAUCAGUCGAAGAUACCAGCUGGCUGCAACUGUUUAUUAAAAACACAGCACUGUGCAAACACGAAAGUGGACGUAUACGGUGUGACGCCUGCCCGGUGCCGGAAGGUUAAUUGAUGGGGUUAGCCGCAAGGCGAAGCUCUUGAUCGAAGCCCCGGUAAACGGCGGCCGUAACUAUAACGGUCCUAAGGUAGCGAAAUUCCUUGUCGGGUAAGUUCCGACCUGCACGAAUGGCGUAAUGAUGGCCAGGCUGUCUCCACCCGAGACUCAGUGAAAUUGAACUCGCUGUGAAGAUGCAGUGUACCCGCGGCAAGACGGAAAGACCCCGUGAACCUUUACUAUAGCUUGACACUGAACAUUGAGCCUUGAUGUGUAGGAUAGGUGGGAGGCUUUGAAGUGUGGACGCCAGUCUGCAUGGAGCCGACCUUGAAAUACCACCCUUUAAUGUUUGAUGUUCUAACGUUGACCCGUAAUCCGGGUUGCGGACAGUGUCUGGUGGGUAGUUUGACUGGGGCGGUCUCCUCCUAAAGAGUAACGGAGGAGCACGAAGGUUGGCUAAUCCUGGUCGGACAUCAGGAGGUUAGUGCAAUGGCAUAAGCCAGCUUGACUGCGAGCGUGACGGCGCGAGCAGGUGCGAAAGCAGGUCAUAGUGAUCCGGUGGUUCUGAAUGGAAGGGCCAUCGCUCAACGGAUAAAAGGUACUCCGGGGAUAACAGGCUGAUACCGCCCAAGAGUUCAUAUCGACGGCGGUGUUUGGCACCUCGAUGUCGGCUCAUCACAUCCUGGGGCUGAAGUAGGUCCCAAGGGUAUGGCUGUUCGCCAUUUAAAGUGGUACGCGAGCUGGGUUUAGAACGUCGUGAGACAGUUCGGUCCCUAUCUGCCGUGGGCGCUGGAGAACUGAGGGGGGCUGCUCCUAGUACGAGAGGACCGGAGUGGACGCAUCACUGGUGUUCGGGUUGUCAUGCCAAUGGCACUGCCCGGUAGCUAAAUGCGGAAGAGAUAAGUGCUGAAAGCAUCUAAGCACGAAACUUGCCCCGAGAUGAGUUCUCCCUGACUCCUUGAGAGUCCUGAAGGAACGUUGAAGACGACGACGUUGAUAGGCCGGGUGUGUAAGCGCAGCGAUGCGUUGAGCUAACCGGUACUAAUGAACCGUGAGGCUUAACCUUACAACGCCGAAGCUGUU